UGGGGAAUAUUGGACAAUGGGCGAAAGCCUGAUCCAGCCAUGCCGCGUGUGUGAAGAAGGUCUUCGGAUUGUAAAGCACUUUAAGUUGGGAGGAAGGGCAGUAAGCGAAUACCUUGCUGUUUUGACGUUACCGACAGAAUAAGCACCGGCUAACUCUGUGCCAGCAGCCGCGGCAAUACAGAGGGUGCAAGCGUUGAUCGGAAUUACUGGGCGUAAAGCGCGCGUAGGUGGUUCGUUAAGUUGAAUGUGAAAGCCCCGGGCUUAAACGGGGAACUGCAUCCAAAACUGGGGAGCUGGAGUAGGGGAGAGGGUAGUGGAAUUUCCGGUGUAGCGGUGAAAUGCGUAGAUAUAGGAAGGAACACCAGUGGCGAAGGCGACCACCUGGGCUCAUACUGACACUGAGGUGCGAAAGCGUGGGUAGCAAACAGG
rnacentral:rRNA from 1 species